UAAACGACUCUCGGCAACGGAUAUCUCGACUCUCGCAUCGAUGAAGAACGUAGCGAAAUGCGAUACUUGGUGUGAAUUGCAGAAUCCCGUGAACCAUCGAGUCUUUGAACGCAAGUUGCGCCCGAAGCCAUUAGGCUGAGGGCACGUCUGCCUGGGCGUCUCA
rnacentral:rRNA from 1 species